AUUGAACGCUGGCGGCAGGCCUAACACAUGCAAGUCGAGCGAGCGGCGGACGGGUGAGUAAUGUAUGGGGACUGCCCGCUAGAGGGGGAGAACUACUGGAAACGGUAGCUAAUACCGCCUACUCUCUGUUAACCCAUAUGGGAGUAGCUAGUUGGUGAGGUAAUGGCUCACCAAGGCGACGAACCCUAGCUGGUCUGAGAGGAUGAUCAGCCACACUGGGACGGAGACACGGCCCAGACGCCUACGGAGGCAGCAGUGGGGAAUAUUGCACAAUGGGCGCAAGCCUGAUGCAGCCAUGCCGCGUGUAUGAAGAAGGCCCUAGGGUUGUAAAGUACGUUCAGUCGGGAGGCGUUACCGACAGAAGAAGCACCGGCUAACUCCGUGCCAGCAGCCGCGGUAAUACC
rnacentral:rRNA from 1 species